AAGAGCUCGUAGGCGGUGUGUCACGUCGGCCGUGAAAACCUGCAGCUUAACUGUGGGCGUGCGGUCGAUACGGGCAUCACUGGAGUUCGGCAGGGGAGACUGGAAUUCCUGGUGUAGCGGUGAAAUGCGCAGAUAUCAGGAGGAACACCGGUGGCGAAGGCGGGUCUCUGGGCCGAUACUGACGCUGAGGAGCGAAAGCGUGGGGAGCAAACAGGAUUAGAUACCCCAGU
rnacentral:rRNA from 1 species